rnacentral:ncRNA from 1 species
UUUAAAGCUUUGAAGAGAAAGAGUAGAAUUAAUGGAGUUUUAUAGAGAGGUCCCGGUUGGUGAAAGGGGCAAAACGAGUUAAUUUGAAUACAUCUCUGAGCAGCACUCCGAAAGAUAACAACCAGUAGGCAGAUGUCGUAAUGUACACGUUAUAGUGCUAGAGUAUAACCAAAGGUUUAUUUUAUAUUUUUGGCGUACUUGAAGAGGUUGUUAUUGUGAAGUAAUGAUAAAUUUAGGUGGUAACACGUGAGUAUAGCUCUCGUCCUAUUU